ACACACACACCGGCACACACGCACACACACAGACACACACACACAGAGUGAAAAAGGCGAGCCACCAAAACCCAUCUCCAGUCUCCUCCCGGGGGCCCCCAGCCCGCCUCUGUGCCACUUUGCAUCCCACGCCGGAGGAGGCAUUAACGAGACCGGUGCUGCAUUCUUACAACCCUAAAAUCCAUCUGCUCUUAACACACCGUCAAAAAGAGGGGGAAAUGCAUCUCCGAGGGAGUGCUCGAGAGAAGAUAAUGGAAUGGUCUGAUGUAAUCCCAUACAAAUUAUUCCUCAUGAUGUGAAAAUGCUUUUACAGGGACCUGGGAGAUUUCUAAACUGAGCUUUUUAAACGGUCCAAGGUGUAGAGCCAUACUUCAGGAGGAUCCUCAGAAGUUUUGGACAAGCCUCCCCAAAUGUGGCAGGUGCUGUGCUGGCCAUUGGUGACCCAAAGAUGAUGAAAAAUAUGUUCCUGCCCACAAGGAGUUAGCGACCUACUGGGCUUUCCUCUUGCUGAUGACAUGAUUCCUGUUUGAAUCUGUUGACAAGAUUCUGAAAGCUGAAC
rnacentral:lncRNA from 10 species